GCUUCCACGUAUUCCUGAGCGCUUGCUAUUAUAACCGCACCGAUGACAAUGACGCCAUGAUAGUCUCUUUGCGUUUGAUUGCAUUGCGUCGCGUUGUGUUGUGUUGUGUUGCGUUGCGUUGAGCCGCGUUGAUGGUCGCGGCGGCAAAAUGUUAACGUCGCACAACGCAUAGCACAAGUAAACAUGGAAUGGCGCGCGCGGCAAAGCAACAAAUUGGAAUAUUAGCGCCAGACCAAAAUUUAGUAAGUUUGAAAACAAUAAAGCAAUGAAAUAAAAAAAAGUUUAAAAUAAAAUAAUGAUGGAAUUGCAUCAAUUGUAAAAAGUCACGCAAGCCGCGCGACAUUUAGGCGUGUCAAGUCACCUGUAGCGCGCACCAGUACUUUUGACACCGACGCGCUGGAAAGUCACUUCAUAAUCAAACAUCGAAAAUUCAGAUAGUCAACACCGAUGGUGCGCAUUUAGCGGCUGAAUGAUUUUCACACCUCGGGCGCGUUCACGCGUCCCAGUUGGGACGAUGCCAGUGUCAGUGAACGCGUUGCGGCGCGUUCCAUUAAACUGUCGCCCGGUGUCACGCGCCACCGACUAGUCACUGCACCGGUGGCGCUGAUUAUUAAACCACCAAACCACCAAUCAACCGACUGAUUGCGCGACCAAACAACCAGUCAAGCAACAAGCGAAGAUGCCACCGUUCUGUGUUUGGAAAUAAAAGAAGUACACAACGAGGUACCAACGAUUGCACCGCCGAUUGACAGCUGUCCGGGUUACGUCAGUCAAAAUGACGCAUCGUAUUUUGGUAACAGGGAAACAGACAAUUCCAGCAACCGACUUGUAAUGUGCCGACGACUAUGCGUCCCAAAGUGCCCGUAGCAAAGCGCCAUCCGCGCGGCAAUCAACAAUGGUGGCGCGCACCGUGCAAGGUUGCGUUGGUGCGUACGUUGAGUUGUCAACAACGCGGCGACGCCAAAAAAGUAAUGAAAAAUGAAUGCAAAUGUAUGUGCAUUAAGUGUAAAAUGGUAUUGUAGCAUAGCGUGGAAGCGAGUUUCUAAAUUUUCAUUGUCGCCUUGUCGUUGUAAAAGCAUAAAACGCCAGGCGUUGUAAGGGCAACACCCAACUGCCGCAGUAGAGGUCCCAAUCUACUGUAUUAUAACUUCAUCAGCUGUGUAGGGUAGUUGUUGUUUUUAUUUUGCCAUUGCACUGAUUAGUCGCGCUAUGUCAGUCGCCCUCAGUGAACAAAAAGUGUGCGGCGACUUUCCGCUGCCAUGGCGCGCCACAGUUAAUCAUACGAAAAAAGCACUAUUUGAAGAAUAUAAAUGGGUGUAUGUGUAUGCAUAAAUCAAUGCCGUUAUGCGCAUUCGUAUGUAAAUUCAUCUCUGAAUCGUGCGCGCAUUUCCCCUGUUUGCUCCACUCUUGGGUUUCCCUGAGAACUUAUGUAUGUUGCUGAAAAUGACUCAGUUAAUUAAAUGCAGCGCAAGGGCGAAAUGUAUUUGAAUGUGGAGGCAAAUUUGAUUGGAGGCGUAUUUAGCCUACGAUGGAAAAAUGGGAACCAAUUGAGGAUUUUAAUUAAAUUUUUAGAUUUUACUUGGCAACAAAAAAAAUAUUAUAUUUUUGUAUGCAACUGAGAGGAUUUCCGAACAUGAACAGAAGGGGAAAGGGGGAAACAACAAUUGUUCAGAACAAAAGAAAGGUUGGUAGUGAUGGUUAAGAUGGAAGGUUCUGCCAAGGAAAUAUUUAUUAGUUAGGAAAAUGGAGAGAAAUCCUGGCCUAGCCAGGGGUACAGCAGUGUUUGAGAAAAAUUAACUCUCAUGGCGCGACUGGAAGAACGGCCGUCGAAUGGAACAAAACUAUGAGAUGAUUUGAAAAGCCGAACAAAGAAAAAUAUUGGUGAAAAUACAUAGAGCCUUACUGCGACCGAAGGGGGCCCAUUCCAUCAUUUUCUCCGUUCUGAAAUUAACCAACCUUGAUAAUCUCGUUUUUAUUUCAAGGUCAGCAGCUCUGAGCGGCAGAGUUUGGUGCAUGAUUCGACGGCAAUCCACAAUCACACCAAGGCAUUCAUUGCUCCAAGAAAUACACCCGUGAUUUAUUAAGUCCAUCAAAUAUUCAAUCUACUGUGAAGCAAAGCCAACUCCACGACAGUCGGUUCUACGUUACCGAAACGACCCGGAUUUAUAUCCCGCUAAGGACUGUCACUCCAGCAGCAUUCCCCGUAUGUAAGUAUGGGGAAUAUUUAUGCUGCUACAACACCACCACCAACAACAACAACAACAACCGCUUUUAGGACAACAUCAUUCCAAAUAAAUAAAACAAAAACUAAAUAAAAACAUUAAUAAAAAAAUUAAAUAAAACAAAAAAAUAAGAACAAUUAAAAAAAAAUUGAAGAAUGAAACAAAACAUAACAUAAAAAUUAAAAAAAAAAUAAAAAUUAAACAAAACAAAAAGUAAACAAAACAAAGAAAUAACAAAAUAGAAUGAAACAAAAGAAAAUAAAUAAAUAAAAAAAUUAAAUUAAAUCUAAAUUUAAAAAAAUGUAUAAAACAAAAAAUAAAAAAAUUAAGCAAAAAUUAAAUAAAACUAAGUACAAAAUAUAAAAUUAAAUCUAACCAGAAACUAAACAAAUAAAUUUAAAAAAAUAUAUAAAAUAAAAAUUAAAAAAAUGAAAUAAAACAAAAAUUAAUAAAAGCAUUAAACAAAUCAAAAAUUAAGAAAAAAUUAAACAAAACCAAAGAAUAAAAAAAUAAUUUGUUUUACUUUACAUAAAAAAAUUCAAAAAAUAAAAAAAUGUAAUGCAUCAAAAAUAAAUAAAAAUAUAACGUGAAACAACAAAAAUUAAAUAAAAAUUUUAUUAAAUAAAAGCAAAAAAUAAAAAGAUUAAAUAAAACAAAAUAAAAAUAAAAAUAAGUAAAAGCAGAGUUUAAAUAAAACUAAAAAAAAAAAAUUAACUAAAUAAAAAAUAAAAAAUAGUAUAAAAUAAAAAUUAAUAAAGGUCUGUGCAGGUUUCAUUCCGCACAAGUUAACUGAGGAUCAAAAAUUGCUCAGAAUUCAACAUUCGAAGGACCUCAUUAAAAAGGCGAGGAAAGACAUUGUAACUGGUGAUGAAAGGUGGUGUAUAUUGCUAUUACUGUUAACAAACAAACAAACAAACAAACAAUGAAAC